rnacentral:lncRNA from 1 species
GGGUCUGGACCAAGUCCAGGCGGUCCAGGACAUGGUACAAAACCUCCAGUUGAUCCAUAUACGUUCAAAGCAAAGGAAAGCGUCAAACCAUGGCUUGAAAACUUAGGUUCUGGACCAAGUCCAGGCGGUCCAGGACAUGGUACAAAACCUCCAGUUGAUCCAUAUACGUUCAAAGCAAAGGAAAGCGUCAAACCAUGGCUUGAAAACUUAGGUUCUGGACCAAGUCCAGGCGGUCCAGGACAUGGUACAAAACCUCCAGUUGAUCCAUAUACGUUCAAAGCAAAGGAAAGCGUCAAACCAUGGCUUGAAAACUUAGGUUCUGGACCAAGUCCAGGCGGUCCAGGACAUGGUACAAAACCUCCAGUUGAUCCAUAUACGUUCAAAGCAAAGGAAAGCGUCAAACCAUGGCUUGAAAACUUAGGUUCUGGACCAAGUCCAGGCGGUCCAGGACAUGGUACAAAACCUCCAGUUGAUCCAUAUACGUUCAAAGCAAAGGAAAGCGUCAAACCAUGGCUUGAAAACUUAGGUUCUGGACCAAGUCCAGGCGGUCCAGGACAUGGUACAAAACCUCCAGUUGAUCCAUAUACGUUCAAAGCAAAGGAAAGCAUCAAACCAUGGCUUGAAAACUUAGGUUCUGGACCAAGUCCAGGCGGUCCAGGACAUGGUACAAAACCUCCAGUUGAUCCAUAUACGUUCAAAGCAAAGGAAAGCGUCAAACCAUGGCUUGAAAACUUAGGUUCUGGACCAAGUCCAGGCGGUCGCAGGACAUGGUACAAAACCUCCAGUUGAUCCAUAUACGUUCAGUAAAGCAAAGAAAAGCGUCAAACCAUGGCUUGAAAACUUAGGUUCUGGACCAAGUCCAGGCGGUCCAGGACACGGCACAAAACCUCCAGCACACGUCGCCUAGAUGGUGCCAUCUCUGGGUUUCGUAGAUUAACUAUAAGUGAAGUAAUUAUGAAUGAAGUGUAAUUAUUGAAUCAGCUAAGAAUGAAGUUAGGAUAAAAUGUAAUACCAAGCUGAUUCAAUAUAAUCAUA